rnacentral:misc_RNA from 1 species
ACUAUACAAAAGAGAAUUUUGCAAAAAAACAGGGCCAAAAUAAAAAAAAAAAACUAAGGCACAUCCCCAAUUCUCAGCCAAUCACAUGCUUAGGUGACCUACCUGAAAUCACCCGCGCGUGAGGUUAAGAUAUUGAAGCUCCGUUCAACUCAGUAUACCUGGCGGUGACUGGUUGCAAGAAAGGCAGGCAACGGACUGGCACGUGGCGACCGUAAAGGCACUUCGUUCAGCUGCUUCCCGUUACUAUCGUAAUAAAUUACGCCCGAGAAAUCCAACGGCUCACAUUUAUCUCCCAUCAAGAUCGCCUUCUGCCAAACUCCGCCGUCUCCCCACUCCUCUUCGGCAUCGCCGCCGCAGCGCUUAUUCUUCUUCUUAUGAAUCAACGUGAUCGCGGUGUUGCUUAUGUUCUUCAGAAACCGCUUCGGUCGGAGUUGCGGUGAUCGCAACUCUAAUCGCGGCAAUUGCUUCGAUUUCAGUUUGGUUUGAAGCUUUUUUGAUGCUCUGUUCGCUUGCUUCGCACAGAGCGCUACCAGAGUCGAUAAAGAGAUGAGCAAAGUCGCCGCCGCGCGCCUCGGCGUCGCCAGAACAGAGCCACCGCCGGAGAUGGAGGUCGAGCCGCCGAGUUCCGGUGUGGCUUGGCCCAUGCUUGAAGAAAUCGGAAAUGCAAAUUUUCGAUUUAGA